UUGUGUUAGAGCAUAAAAAAGUAUCUUGUUUAUGAUAGAGAUGAGAACAGCUCUGGGGACUGGGGACAUAGAGAAGGGUUGCUGUGCCAGGAGGGUUCUUGAGUGGCAAAGCAAUAUGGAAUUGAGGAAGGGUGACAGGACCAGGGUGGCUCAACAUGGACAGAGUGGGUAUGUCCCAGAUAAAGAAGAGCCUCGAGCUAAGCAAAGGAUAUGGGACACAUUCUAGAAUGUAUGGGAAGCCACUGAAGAGUUUUAAGCAGGGGAGGCUUUAUCUAUCGGGGUUCUUAGUUCUGAGCAAUAGAGGCUGACUCUGACUAAGCAGAAGAAGAACACAUUAAAAGGAUACCGGAUAGCUCGGGGAUUCUGGGGAAGUGACUCCAAGUUAAGCUUCCAGGAAUGACGCUCAGAAACACGCUGAAGAACUGGCCUGAUGAGGAAACUCUCAUGACUGGGAUUGCUGCUGCUGCCCUACCCCACCCUGGAGGAAGCUGCUGUCACCACUGCCAGGAACCGCUGAGGAAUGGCGGCCACCUUCAAAUGCCACAUGUUUUGACACCAACAAAAUGCCAAGCGUCCAAAAGAGCCUGUUUCCUUACCUUGCUUACUUCUAAAUCAAAGGCUCAUGGGCUGCAUCUGAUUGAGGGAAGAAACUGAGACCUGGCUGCAAAGGAGGCUGGAAUUUCGGGUCUGAACUCUUUCCUUGAGGAAGUGUGACUUAUAAUAGUCGGAUUUCCCCAAAUGUAGGAAGGCUGCACAAAAGAUGAUAGGAGGCCGUGAGUCUGACAGAGUGUAACCACUAGGAUGGAGGAAGCAAUCCAACCGCAGGAGUGAAGGAGGGUCCUGGAGAACCAGAGCAUCUCCAAGGCACAGCCAAGAUUUAAGGAUGUCACCUUAAUGUCUGCAAGCAACAGGCACUGCAACUUUCAGAGAGUUCAGAAAUUUUUUUUUUUUUCUUUUUUGCGCCACCAGGGAAGCCCUCUUUUUUUUUAAAUGGACCAUUUCAUAGAAUAUUACAAAGGGGUGAUGUCACUCUUCCUUGGGAAUCCAUUCAUUGGUUCUCUGCAGGCUUUUUUUUUAAUUGAAGUAUAAUUGAUUUACAGUGUUGUGCCAUCUCUGCUGCACAGCAAAGCGACUGAGUUAUCCACAUAUAUACAUUCUUUUUUUAUAUUCUAGGGUUUUUUUAAUGUUUUAUUUUAGAACAGUUUUAGAGUUACAGAAUUAUUGUGAAGACUUAUAUACCACAUACCCAAUUUUCCCUAUUAUUAACAUCUUAGAUUAGUAUAACACAUUUGUCACUAUCAAUGGAUUAAUAUAGAUAUCUUUAUUAACUGAAAUUCAUACUUUAUUGAGAUUUUCUCGGGUUUUCCCUAACGUCCUCUCUCUGUUCCAG